rnacentral:ncRNA from 1 species
UUUGCCAGCCGGUAUAAUAGGGAAACGGGUGAAAUUCCCGUGCGGGGCCGCCGCCGUAAUGGCUGAGUUUUGGUUUGUAAGAUGUCACUGUGGGUACACAUGGGAAGGCAAAACCGAAAUGAUGACGCCUGAGCCGGAAGACCUGCCUUGUAUU